rnacentral:lncRNA from 1 species
UACGAGUUGGGAAGGCAAGGUGCCAUGACCAAGUUGUCUAGCAACAAGACUGUCAGGCGCAUCCGUGUGCGUGGCGGUAACUCUAAGUUCCGGGCGUUGCGUUUGGACACAGGAAAUUUCUCUUGGGGUUCCGAGGCUGUCACCCGGAAGACCAGAGUCCUGGAUGUGGUCUACAAUGCCUCCAACAAUGAGCUGGUCCGUACCCAGACUUUGGUGAAGAAUGCCAUCAUCCAAGUUGAUGCUGCUCCUUUCCGCACCUGGUACAGCCAGCACUACGGUGUUGAAAUUGGCAAGAAGAAGAAGGCGGCAGCCAAGAAGGAUACUGAGGUGAGCUGCAGUGAUUUUCAAGUGUGUUAAUGAUAUACUCUCUUUAAAUGAGUACUCUAUUUUUUUACUUCAGGAUUAGGUCUUAGGAUGUGGGAUUUUUCUGUUGUUACUUUGUAAUGGUCUUCAUGCAACACAUUUUAUUAACCGGUCUUCAAGCUAAUUUCACAUGCUUUUUUUGUUUCGCAGGACGCCGAAACCACAGAGGAAGAGAAGAAGAGCGCCCACGUGCAGAGGAAGCUGGCUAAGAGAUUGGAGGGCCAGAAGCUGGACUCCCACUUGGAAGAUCAGUUUGCCAGCGGCAGGCUGCUCGCCUGCAUUGCCUCCCGCCCUGGCCAGUGCGGCCGUGCUGACGGGUACGCUCGCUUACCUUCUGAAGUAGAUAUCGAAUUAAUGUAGAUCUUAAUCUAGUGACAAUCGUCCUAUCGCACGAACACGACACGGAUACAAAUUUACACUCUGCAAUUAAUAACUUAUUCUCAAAUUUGACGCCCACAGUAGGCACUCGUCCUCUUUUUGCGCACAUGUAGUGCGCCAUAUUCAAAAUUAAUAUCUCCGUCACGCAACUUAAAGAAGUUUCGCUGAAUUUGGAUGUUCAAAGGUGUAUUAUCCAGGUAUUCGCAGUAUGACCGCACCUAGAGCGAUACGGUUAACUUGCUUCUUUGAUAGCAGUCGGCUGUAUCAUGGCCAAACGCUUCUUCGGUGACUCCUUGAUGAUAUUACGACCCUUGUUCCCAGAGAUGUAAUUGAUCAGACGAAAUACGCAUUUUAAAUUUCUGGUAUUAAGCCAAUGAGAGUAUGUUCAAUCAUUUUAAUUACUAACGAGCUUUUCGUUUAGAAACAGUAUGUCAUUGUGAUCAACGGAAGCUGUAGAGCCAGCGAAGUAUUUUGGAUGUUUUGAUAUGUGUGUUCUGGGAUGAGUAUGGAAAGGGUCAUACUGGCAAAUAUCUCCGUUAUCAUGGCAGACAGGCAUUACAAGUCAUGGUGAAAUUGAGACCUAUUGCUCUACGUGGUAAUCGUUACCAGCUUUCUCCGGACAUUAAUGUUUUUUUCUCUAAUUCUUGCAGGUACAUCUUGGAAGGUAAGGAGCUUGAGUUUUACCAGAAGAAGAUCCAGAAGAAAAAGGGCAAGGGUGCCGCCGCCUAGGCUUUUGGUAGUCAUUUGAUAGGACUAUUCUGGUGUGCCUUGUCGAGGCUAUGCGAAACCUAUUGAUUCAGGUUUUUUCAUAAUGGAAAAUUUCUCGCAAUCAGAAUCUGCAUUGUGACAUUACCUGAGGAUCUUCAACACAUUACGCCUUGUAUGAUUCUUAAUCUCCCCAAAAGUUUCCCUACAACUCAAUGUGUCGUUUCCUGACAAUUGAAGUCAUUCUCGCUGCGGCUGGAUGUCACUUGCAGCUCGCACUUUGGAUCCUAGAGUUCAUUAAUAUUCCUUCCGGAACUUUAAU